UGGGCGAAAGCCUGACCGAGCGACGCCGCGUGAGCGAUGAAGGCCAUUAGGUUGUAAAGCUCUGUCGAGGGGGAACAAGCCGCAAGGUUGAGUGAUCCCUGGAGGAAGCACGGGCUAAGUUCGUGCCAGCAGCCGCGGUAAGACGAACCGUGCGAACGUUGUUCGGAAUCAUUGGGCUUAAAGGGCGCGUAGGCGGGUGUUCAAGUCCGGGGUGAAAGCCUCCAGCUCAACUAGAGAAGAGCCCCGGAUACUGUUCACCUGGAGAGAGAUAGGGGCACAUGGAACUUCCGGUGGAGCGGUGAAAUGCGUAGAGAUCGGAAGGAACGCCGGUGGCGAAAGCGAUGUGCUGGAUCUUUUCUGACGCUGAGGCGCGAAAGCUAGGGGAGCAAACGGGAUUAGAUACCCCGGUAGUCCUAGCCCUAAACGAUGGGUACUGGGUUGCGGGUCAGACAUAGACUCGCAGCCGAAGCAAAAGUGUUAAGUACCCCGCCUGGGGA
rnacentral:rRNA from 1 species